GUCUACGGCCAUGCCACUCUGAACAAGCCCGAUGUCUGAUCUCGGAAGCUAAGCAGGGUCAGGCCCGGUUAGUACGUGGAUGAGAGACCACCUAGGAAGACCAGAUGCUAUAGGCA
rnacentral:rRNA from 1 species